UGCUUUCGUCGCCGGCAGAUGACGUAAAAACACAGCGUCUAAUUUAGAACGGGCCUUUGAGGACCCACCUCUCGUUAUGACUGACAAGCCGAUGCACCAAUCAGGUGCGACUAUAUCGUCAUGCCAAAGACUUGGAGCAGCUGGUAUUGGUUAGCACUGCACUUUAUCAAAUAGCAUCCCCAUUUCAAUUGAGAAUGAAGAGGUUCUUGGAUAAAGAACUUGUAAAAAUCAGGUACAAUAAUAAAGUCAUGGAUGAUUCUUGGAAUUUGCUAAAAUGAAAUGCUGCAUCUAAGUGCGAUAAAUAAGUAAAAAGAAGAAAUAAGGAAAAAAAACAUUUUAGAUCAGAGAAUGCAAGGUUAUAUUUCAAAAGUGUUUCUGAUCCUUGAUUGGUUUGUUCCAGUUAGCCGAUGUUCUCUCUUCCUUCACCAAACUCAGCAACUUUCAUGGGUGACUACUCACAAAACUUUGUGCCUGGAAGAUGGACAUUUGGCAAGCCAUAAUAGACUGCUCCUUUCCCAGCUGAAACCUGACAGCUUUACAAGAGCAACCACUGGAGCUAGCUGGAAGAAUAAAUUAUAAUAAUACUUAAUAAGAUCUCUUGGACUCAGAUAUCCUUCUGGUGGAGAUCCCUACUAGGUAGAAACUCCCCAGUAUGAAAGUACAUGCUCUCCAACCUGAAUACUAGCAAGAACACAUGCUCGGGAAGGAUAGAGAAAUCCACUAUGUUCCUGCUUGAGGGCAAAGAAACUCCAAGAGAUGCAGAUAGGAAUAGCCUCAGCCAGAGAUACAGAAAAAGAGCCUAGUCGCAAGUAUACUGGGUCCGUAGGCCAGAAAAGAGUCACCAGACGUAGUGGACCUGAAUGUGUUUAAUCAGGGCAUUAAAUAAUGCAUCACGUAUGCAGACACAUGUAGUUUAACUCCCCAAAUAAGUAAACUUCAAAUCUCCAGUUCCUCUCCUAAUUCUUAGAGCCCAUUGCUUGGAGAAAAUGAACUAUCUUAGAAAUUGAGUUUAAAGACAGCCCUCUCAAGGAAAUAAUGAAUUAAAAAGUAGACUUUCAGGUAAACAAAGUAGAUAAGAUCUAUGUGGGUAUCACUAACCCAUCUGGUAGUUGAAAGCCACAUUUGUUUUCUUUGUUCGUUCCUUUGAAACUCAGGUCUUUAUUGUCUUGAUAACAGUCCACUUGGCUUUUAUAUUGCAUGCCGGUACUUAAUAACCUUGUCUUUUUCUAUGAUUGGGUUAUACAGAGUUUCCAAAACAAACAAACAAACAAACAAACAAACAUUAAAAGCAGUUAUAUUUAUAGGAUAAGCAAGUGUCUUUAUUCUCUCUUGUAUUAAAAAUGCAAGCCAGCCGG